rnacentral:lncRNA from 1 species
UCUUUUUUGGGUAUUUCCAAUUGCCAAUAACAUAUCAACAUUCUCAUCACACCUAUUAAAGUUCAUAUAGCUAGCUUUAAAUAGUUAAUAUAGGGUCAUAAAUUCAAACUUAUUUAUUAUUAUUGGCACACCUUCUAGUUCAAUUUUAAUUUUCAUUCAUUUAAUUAAUUUAAAGUUAAUUAUGUAACUAUCAUUUUUCUUUUUACUAGGUCAAUUUCUUUUCUUUAAAAUUUAUUUAAAACACUUGCAUAGGUUUAGUUCAUUAUAAAAUUCAUAAGUUAUUUUUAAAAUAUUUCCACUUGAGAUUUAAUAAUAAUACUUAUUAAAUAUUAAAAAAAAAUUAUAUAAUCUUAAAUUUUUAUUUUAGGAGAUUACAUUAAUAUUUUAUAAAAUUAUUUAAAUUUAAAAUAUAUUUCUUAAUACUUAAUAAAUGUAAUUAAAUAAUAUUAAAUUAAUUUUAAUAUUUGUACUUUCCAUAAUAAUAUCUCUCUGUUUUCAUUUAGUGUCCAACAUUUUUUUUAUUGUCUUUUUUUCAUAGUGAUAGUUAUUCUUUCUAUUAGUGAUAAUCAAAGAAGAAAAAAUAUAUGAAAAUAGAAAAUGAGAAUCUUUGCUUUAAUGUUGGGUGGUACAUAAAUAUUAGAUGCUAUAUAUAAUGUGUUGUCCCAUUUCAUGUGUUUGGACAUGCAUGCACCUUCUUAGUUAAGACCUUCUUUUCUCUUCCUUUAAGGAAGAAGCUUUUGCCUUUUCUCUUUUCAAGCUUCGCUCUUUCUUUUUUCUCAUUCAUAUGUGCAUUGUCUCUUCUUGUGGUUGCCUAUUCUUUUUUGCUUCAUGUUUAUCAAGAUUAUUUUUUUUCUUUCAAUUUUUCUAUUGGUUUUAGUAAGUAGCAGCAAUUGAAAACAUUAGUAGACGGUGAAGAAUAACAAAAUAGAGAAAACAUUUAAAAUACAAUACCUAGUGAAUAUGAUAUUACAAUCCUAAAUCAUGCGUCAUAUAGAUUUCAUAUCUACAUUUAAACGACUGGGUUUCUCCACUACACUUAUAACAAAGACCUAUUUUCCUUUUUUCUUACACAAGUUUGAUUUGCAGAAUAAAUGAAGAUGCGUGAGGAUGAAAAAGAAAAGAAAUAAUUUUAAAAAUAUACUAUUUUUUAUAUAUGUUUAAACUCAUUUUUCUAUCUCUUUCCUCAUCCUUUAUUUUUUUUUUUCCUCUUUUCUAAUCUUCAUCUCAUCUCGAAACAGCUAUCACUUUCCUUCCAAUGACGAUCGCCAUCUGGAUUAUAUUUUUUUCUGUGCUCAUAAGCAUCAUUGUAACUAUUAUAGUGGGAGUUAAGGGAAUAAAAUAUUCUCAUCAACAACCCGCAAAUGAUAGGGUGAAAAAGUUGUCGAGACAACCAUCGGAUAAUUUCAAUCAUUACUCUGACUAUAUUACUAUAAUGAUAUCAAAAUUAAUGUAUAAAGAUAUUUCAUUUUUAAUUUAUAUAAUUAAUUUAAAUUCUAUAAAAAAUUUGAUAUAACAAAAAAAAGGAAAAAAAAGUUAUGAAGUAUAUAAAUCUAGUUACCAUAAACUCUUUGACAAAUUUUCUAGGAUUUUUUGUUUUCUUAACUUGGAUCAUAUAUCAAAUAGUUUCAUUUAUAUUUAGUUAUUUGACAUAUAUAUAUAUUUAGUAAAAUGUCAACUCUUUAUUCUAAUUGUUUGUAUUUUUACAUUUAUAAAAUUAAUUAUUUUUAACUUUUGAACAAUGUUAAAAAAAUAUUUUUUAUUAUUAUUUACUUAAAAUUUUUGAAGAUAUGUUAUUUAUAAUUAUAAGUUUUAAAUAUUUUUAAAAUAUUAAC